rnacentral:rRNA from 1 species
AUGCCGAUCUUCUGGUUGGGGUUGUGCUCGUUGACGGCGAACUUGACGGGCAGGUUGGCGGCGCCGGACUGGCGGUUGACGUUGGGGAUGCUGAAGUCGGUGAGCGUGAACUUGGGGCGGUGCGGGCGGAGGCUGAGCCAGAGCACGAAGAGGAUGAUGCCGGCGAUGAGGACGAGCGUGAGCAGCACCGCGCAGAGGAAGUUGAGGCACCGGAUCGCCGGGCUCUGCCGGUGGUACGACGGCAGGCGGUAG